rnacentral:lncRNA from 1 species
AUCUAUGUCUCUUUAUAAAUACAACUUGUAAUCUCCGGAUUCUCAACAAAUCUAAUCCCCUCUUUCCUAACUUUCUUCUUCGUCUUCAAAGUGUUUUUGAAGAAAAACGUGAUGAGACUCUCAAGGUUGAAAACAACAUCAGUUUGGUGCAAGAUCAAGUAUUUGUUUGUGGGGAUGUCGCUGCGGUUAUUGGAGCCAUGGCCAAAUAUAAUACCACAAGAAAAGAGGUAGCAAGAAAGAAACCUGAAGAAAUGUGCACUCUAGGCAAGUCUGAUGCUUGGCUUUAAUUUCAUCGAUCGAUCUAUGUUGUAAAACAAGGAGGAGGAUUAUAUGAUUUUCUGUUUUAUUACAAUGUCUUUCAAUUCGACCAACCCCUCCCCUCUCCUUGGACAUAGAUAGAUAGAUGUGUUAUGUUGUUUUCUCUUUCUAUUAUGUAUAUGCAGCACUGCAGCUGCAUUUAUUUUAAUUUUUAACUUGUAUGAAGUUCUUUUGUUUCAUUUUUUCUCUUCUUACUUGUUGUUCAACAUGAAAUAGAACAAUAAAAAUAAUUAAGCUACUACUGCUUUCUGUUAAUAAAUUAAGCAAAAACAUGCUGGAUUCAUCAUAUAGGCUCAUAGUUGGGGGUAGUGAGAGCAUAAUUAAUGUUCUGUGGGGUUCAUCUUACUUCUCAACUAGCUAGGUGUGGUUGUGGUAUUAAUUAUUUAUCCUCACAAAAUACUAGCUAUAUAUAGCUAGCAUUUUUCACAGCAAAUUGGCAAUUAAUACUAAUUAAAUAACUAGGUUGCCAAACAAAUCGGUUUCAUAAGGAGAGUUGUUAUUUGUUAACAAACAUAUGUUUGCGAUGAAAAUGAUGGGGAUUCAUUCAGUGACUUAUGGAUAAAGAUUAGUUUUGGCUUAGUCGUCCUAUAGUUCUCCUAAAUUCUGUCGUUGACCGAUCACUAUAUAGCAUAUAUAGAGGUCUUUUCAGGUGUAAAGGCGAAACAGUUUGGCUUAAUUGUGUACAAAUCAGUUUGCUCUACUGGGUUUGGUUGCUUUCGAUCAAGACUGAAGUUUUUUUUAUGUGUGUUGGGUAUCGGAUUUGAUAAAUUUGAGGUGUUAGACUCGGUUCGCUAUUAUUAG